CAGCUUUCUCCUAAGAUGAGGCUGAGGUCUCUGGGGAAGGCAGAGUGUAGUCUAGAAGAAGAUGAGGCUGUUGGGUCUUCUCCUUUGCCUGGUGACGGCUCCCCAAGGUGUCCUGUCCCAGGUGCAGCUGAAGAAGUCGGGCCCAGGACAGGUGAAGCCCUCACAGACCCUCUCCCUCACCUGCACUGUCACUGGAGGCUCCAUCACAAGCAGGUAUUAUGGCUGGAGCUGGAUCCGCCAGACCCCAGGGAAGGGGCUGGAGUACAUUGGGAGCAUAGCUUAUAGUGGUAGCACUUACUACAGCCCAUCCUUCAAGAGCCGCGCCUCCAUCUCCAGAGACACGUCCAAGAACCAGUUCUCCCUGCAGCUGAGCUCCGUGACCACCGAGGACACGGCCGUUUAUUACUGUGCAAGUGACACAGUGAGAGGAAGAAGAGAAAGCUCCUGCUUGGAGAUCAUGAAGAGACUGUUUAGCGUGAGGUGGGAAGGCAGCCUGAAGCUGAAGUUGGCAGGAAAGAGUGUACUACAUGGCGUGCAGCUGGAAGAGCUGGGCCCAGGACUGGUGAAGCCCGUGAUGACCAUCGCCCUCACCUGUGCUGUCUCUGGUUUCUGCAUCACAGCCAUCUGUGGCUGGUGCAGCUGA